rnacentral:misc_RNA from 1 species
GAUGAAGAACGUAGUGAAAUGCGAUAAGUAAUGUGAAUUGCAGAAUUCAGUGAAUCAUCGAAUCUUUGAACGCACAUUGCGCCCGCCAGUAUUCUGGCGGGCAUGCCUGUUCGAGCGUCAUUACAACCCUCAGGCCCCCGGGCCUGGCGUUGGGGAUCGGCGGAGCCCCCCGUGGGCACACGCCGUCCCCCAAAUGCAGUGGCGGUCCCGCCGCAGCUUCCAUCGCGUAGUAGCUAACACCUCGCGACUGGAGAGCGGCGCGGCCACGCCGUAAAACACCCAACUCUUCUGAAGUUGACCUCGUAUCAGGUAGGAAUACCCGCUGAACUUAAGCAUAUCAAUAAGCGGAGGA